rnacentral:rRNA from 1 species
GGAAAGUUGCAAAGAACUUUGAAGAGAGAGUUCAAGAGUGCGUGAAACCACUGGAAUGGAAACAGACAGAGUUGACGAAACUCGUCGAUAUUCAGCUGAGCCUUCGGGCACGGUGUACUUGUCGGCGGUAUGCGCUGAGUCCGCUGUUGGUGUGCGUUGAGCGUCGCGGUGUUGCCCACUUGUGGUGUCUUGCCGCGGCGGGAGGCGUAUCGUCGGUAGCGCGAUUCGGUGUAGGCGUUGAUCACCUGUCUGACCCGUCUUGAAACACGGACCAAGGAGUCUACCGCAUGCGCGAGUCAUUGGGUUGUAAACCAGAGGCGCAAUGAAAGUAAAGGUCGGCGUUCGCUCGGCUGAUAUGGGAUGCGUGUGCUUGUCUGCGCCGCACCAUAGCCCCGUCUCGACGGCUUGCCGUGGGGCGGAGGUAGAGCGUAUGUGGUAGGACCCGAAAGAUGGUGAACUAUACGUGAGCAGGGCGAAGCCGGAGGAAACUCCGGUGGAGGUCCGUAACGAUUCUGACGUGCAAAUCGAUCGUCUGACUUGCG